rnacentral:rRNA from 1 species
AUUGAACGCUGGCGGCAUGCUUUACACAUGCAAGUCGAACGGUAACAGGCCGCAAGGUGCUGACGAGUGGCGAACGGGUGAGUAAUGCAUCGGAACGUGCCCAGUCGUGGGGGAUAACGCAGCGAAAGCUGCGCUAAUACCGCAUACGAUCUAUGGAUGAAAGCGGGGGACCGUAAGGCCUCGCGCGAUUGGAGCGGCCGAUGUCAGAUUAGGUAGUUGGUGGGGUAAAGGCUCACCAAGCCGACGAUCUGUAGCUGGUCUGAGAGGACGACCAGCCACACUGGGACUGAGACACGGCCCAGACUCCUACGGGAGGCAGCAGUGGGGAAUUUUGGACAAUGGGGGCAACCCUGAUCCAGCAAUGCCGCGUGCAGGAAGAAGGCCUUCGGGUUGUAAACUGCUUUUGUACGGAACGAAACGGCUCUGGUUAAUACCCGGGGCUAAUGACGGUACCGUAAGAAUAAGCACCGGCUAACUACGUGCCAGCCGCCGCAGUAACAC